GUUCCCAUGCGCUGGCUGUUGCCUCUGCUGCGGAGAGGCCGCGCACGCCCCUUUCUUCCUUAAACAUCUUUCCUUCCUUGCUCCUUUUCUCUCUCCCGCUCUCCAUUCUCACUGUCCGUCAUUCACUUGCUUCACCACACCAGGUUUUGCUUUCUCUCCGACUCGAUGUGUCUGCCUGUUGUUCUUCUCCGUCCGUGUGCAUGCCCGUUGUGAUGGCGUCCCUGCGUGCGGUCGGUGCUGCUGGUUGAGCUGAAAUCCUCUCUGUGCUGUCUCCUGCGCUGGCCGGCGCGCCAUUUUGCCAUAUGCAUUUAGAUUGUUUGUCUGACAUUCCGCCUUCGUUUGCUCGCCGCUGUCCUGGUUAUUGUUCUUAAUCCUGGUUUGAAGACCUACUCUAUUUUUGCAUCUGCACCUGCGACUUCCCCCUUUUGUCAACUUUGCUUUUUCCACAAAGCGGCUAUAGUUAUGUGUUAUAGCA